AUUGAACGCUGGCGGCAUGCUUUACACAUGCAAGUCGAACGAGGGGCGAACGGGUGAGUAUUAUAUCGGAACGUACCGAGUAAUGGGGGAUAACCAAUCGAAAGAUUGGCUAAUACCGCAUAUUAUUCGAGCGGCCGAUAACUGAUUAGCGAGUUGGUGGGGUAAAGGCCUACCAAGGCGACGAUCAGUAGCGGGUCGGAGAGGAGGAUCGGCCACACUGGGAAUGAGACACGGCCAAGACUCCUCCGGGAGGCAGCAGUGGGGAAUGUUGGACAAUGGGGGCAACCCUGAUCCAGCCAUGCAGCGUGUAUGAAGAAGGCCUUCGGGUUGUAAAGUAAUUUUGUUAGGGAAGCGGUACCUACAGAAUAAGCACCGGCUAACUACGUGCCAGCAGCCGCGGUAAUUC
rnacentral:rRNA from 1 species